CCUUGCUAUCAUGUCUUUCCAUG
rnacentral:miRNA from 8 species